CCUACGGGACGCAGCAGUGGGGAAUAUUGGGCAAUGGGCGCAAGCCUGACCCAGCAACGCCGCGUGAAGGAAGAAGGCUUUCGGGUUGUAAACUUCUUUUCUAAGGGAAGAAGAAAGUGACGGUACCUUAGGAAUAAGCCUCGGCUAACUACGUGCCAGCAGCCGCGGUAAUACGUAGGAGGCAAGCGUUAUCCGGAAUGACUGGGCGUAAAGGGUGCGUAGGUGGUUUGACAAGUUGGUAGCGUAACUCCGGGGCUCAACCUCGGCACUACUACCAAAACUGUUGGACUUGAGUGCAGGAGGGG
rnacentral:rRNA from 1 species